AUUCCUUAUAUAAAACCCUCCCUCACGCACGAAUCACGUGCACGCGGCAACGCACAGAAAAACAAGCCCUAGCCUCGUCCUCUCGUCGCCUCCCUCCAGCGAGCCCUGUCCCCCCUCGCUCCGGCGUUCCAGCCCCCGGCGACCUCCCUCCCACGGCCUCCGGCGCCCGUGGCGAACUCCAGCGGUCUCAGCGUCGCCUCCCUCCCUCCAGCGCCGUCUCCAGCGCCGCCCUCCUGCACACGCCAACGCACAAAAAAAGCCCUAGCAUCUUCCAACUCCAGCGUCGCCUCCCUUCCUCCAGCGUUGUCUCCAGCGCCGGCCUCCCGCCGACCUCCAGCGCUGCCCUCCAGCGCCAUCUCCAGCGUCCUCUCCAGUCGCCUCCCUCCCUCCAGCACCCUCUCCAGCGCCAACUCCGCACAAAAGCCCUAGCCUCUCAACAUCCAGCGCCGCCUCCAGCCAGCAUCGCCGACCUCCAGCGCCGCCUCCCUGACCUCCAGCAACCUCCCGUCCUCCACCUCCAGUGGCCUCUAGCGACCUCGAAUUCGAAUUCCAGCGACCUCCGUCCUUGGCACCGUGUGGACAGAGCAAUUUGAAGAUUAUUUAAGCAAUGCAAGCGGUGUUGUGCAUUUGGAACGGAUCUUGAUCUUUGAAGAUCUCUGUCAAAGAUCCAACUAUCAUUGUGCAAAGAAGAAAGAGAACUAAGCACCAACUGGGUUCAAGACAAAAAAUGAACGUAUUUUUUUUAAAGAUAAAGCAAGCACACAGGAGAUAUCGGAACAAGUAAGAAGUCAGAGAAGAGUUGACUUUGUUUCUCACGCUGAUCAGGACGGGCACCAAGAACAGUUGCUUGGUCUCUGACCUACUCCCAACCUGCUAGCUCUUUGGCUGUCGAGAUAUAAUGGAUGUUGAUCUAGUGAUGGAGAAUGAUGAGACUAAUUUUGAAGCCUAAAUAUUGAAGGAAAAGUCCUUGGAUCAUCCCUAAGUAUUAUUUUCUUCUUAAUACAUGUGUUGCUUAUGCUUGAGGCACAGUGUAUAUCAAUUAUUUACAGCAAAUUUAUAUGAAAUUAACUCAUCUGAGUUUGUAAUUUAUUUCACCAAGAAUUUUCUUGUAGCAUUCUACUUGGAAAUCCCAAAUAAGAUAGUCAAGUCAUUAAGAUUGUGUUCCA